rnacentral:rRNA from 1 species
AGUGAACGCUGGCGGUAGGCCUAACACAUGCAAGUCGAACGAGUGGCGGAAGGGUGAGGAAUACAUCGGAAUCUACUCUGUCAUGGGGGAUACCGUAGGGAAACUUAAGAUAAUACCGCAUACGAUUGAAUGAGCCGCUGUCGGAUUCGCUAGUUGGCUGGGUAAAGGACCACCAAGGCGACGAUCCGUAGCUGGUCGGAGAGGAUGAUAAGCCACACUGGAACUGAGACACGGUCCAGAUGCCGACGCGAGGCAGCAGUGGGGAAUAUUGGACAAUGGGCGCAAGCCUGAUCCAGCCAUACCGCGUGGGUGAAGAAGGCCUUCGGGUCGUAAAGCCCUUUUGUUGGGAAAGCGGUACCCAAAGAAUAAGCACCGGCUAACUUCGUGCCAGCAGCCGCGGUAAUUC